GGUCAGUAGGUUGGUCGUGCCACCGGUACGUACUGGUCUCACUGAUUCCUCCUUCCUGAAGAACCGUAAUGCCAUUAAUUUGGUGUUGCGGGGAGACAGGACUGUUACUUUGAAAAAAUUAGAGUGUUUAAAGCAAGCUAGCGCUUGAAUACAUUAGCAUGGAAUAAUGAAAUAGGACGAUCGAUCCUAUUUUGUUGGUUUCUAGGAUUGACGUA
rnacentral:rRNA from 1 species